GAAGGUUCGGGCCGGGUCCCGGCGCGGUUCCCCGCGGGGAGCAGCCCCACGCGUGGGGCCCCACGCCGCCCCUCCGCACGCCGCCCCUCGGGCUGCCUCUCCCGAAGCCCCGUUUUUGCCCGGCGAGGCCCCUUAUCCGGCCCGGCCCGGCUUGGGGAGGGGUGUGCGGGCCCCGGCGGGGAGCAGGCCCGGCCUUCACCUCAGCUCCUGUCAGGCGUUUGCGGGUCGGUGCUCAGGCCGCUUGCCCUGUGGUUAGCAAUUUUAAAAAUAAUUGUGGUUUUUUUCCGGAAGAAGCAGCCCCGUGGCCAGCUGUAAAGGAGAAACCCCUCAGAGAGCCCUGUUGCUGGGCAUGGUCGUGAAAGGAAGGUUUCAGUAAAAGAAUGGAGCAAAUACACGGGGAGAGUUAUCUAGGUUUGCUGAAGAGCAGAGUGGGUGUGAACAUGCAGAGAACCAUAACAUGGAAAUCCAGCCGCUGCCUCCAGAGAUGUGGAGACCUGCAGUGUCCAGAGGAAGGUGCCCGUCCCUCCCGUCAUGGCUCUGCGGGAAUCCAUUCCCUUUCACCAGGAGCACAGAAAAAGUGGAAAAUAAAACAGCAACAACAAAAACUUUCCAUAGGCAAGAUUCCUAAAUGCUAAAUAUGAGAACAUCAGAAGACCUUAGAAGCAAAGUAACUAAGAAAGUAGGAUUAUUGUUGAAAGGUGUCACUCUUUUUUGGAUCAGGAGAAGCGUGGAUUGAGAGUCAGCAGUGCAUUUUUCCAGGGGCAAACACAGUGGAACAGCAUCUAUUUUUGCUGAAGGCUUAAGCUGCGGAAUCAGCGGCGGCAGGUUCUCGGCAAGGCAGAGCACUGAUUCAGCGCCCCUUCGAUAAGGCUCAGCUUCGGAAAGCACUGAGCCGCCCUGGCAGUGAAUCAUGCAAAAGGCCACUCACAUCUCGAUGAUCGGCGUUUUGAAUAUCCAGCCUAGCCAUACCCAACAAGGGAUCCACAGUAGGAUUAAAAUUCACUCGCAAGACACAACAUCUGGCAUUGCUAAGGUUGCUAGUCAGCUCCACGUGAUCCCUCACCUCCAGGACACACACUUCAGCAUCACUGACUUGCUGUAGGCAUCUUCAGGAAUCUGUAUUGCGUGAAUCGCAGGUUUGUAACAACAAGGACAGCAAGUUUCCUAAUUUGUAACAGAUGGUAUCUAGAUAAAAACUCCAUCCUGACAAUUCCUUCAUCUCCCACACCCAGUAACUUCAUAAACUUCAAGUAUGCAUAAGGACUGUUCAAAGUAGGAAUUGAGAUAGGGUGACAGCAUAUAGGGCCUAAAACAGAAAAAACCUCUUCUUCAAGGAACUGUCUCCACAGAGGCACCGGGGCAAUAAACAAGUCACGUAUUUUAUGAAAACUACAGAGUUCUGAGUAAUCAUUUAUUGGUUAUGCUGAUCACUAAUCUGCAACUGGAACUAUAAAAAUAAACUCUAUAAUGAUUUGCUCUGUGUUUCAACUUA